CCUACGGGAGGCAGCAGUGAGGAAUAUUGGUCAAUGGACGAGAGUCUGAACCAGCCAAGUAGCGUGAAGGAUGACUGCCCUAUGGGUUGUAAACUUCUUUUAUAUGGGAAUAAAACGUUCCACGUGUGGGAUUUUGUAUGUACCAUAUGAAUAAGGAUCGGCUAACUCCGUGCCAGCAGCCGCGGUAAUACGGAGGAUCCGAGCGUUAUCCGGAUUUAUUGGGUUUAAAGGGAGCGUAGGUGGAUUGUUAAGUCAGUUGUGAAAGUUUGCGGCUCAACCGUAAAAUUGCAGUUGAAACUGGCAGUCUUGAGUACAGUAGAGGUGGGCGGAAUUCGUGGUGUAGCGGUGAAAUGCUUAGAUAUAACGAAGAACUCCGAUUGCGAAGGCAGUUCACUGGACUGCAACUGACACUGAGGCUCGAAAGUGUGGGUAUCAAACAGGAUUAGAUACCCUUGUAGUC
rnacentral:rRNA from 1 species